rnacentral:rRNA from 1 species
UGCAUANNNNNUAAGCGGAGGAAAAGAAACCAACAGGGAUUGCCCUAGUAACGGCGAGUGAACAGGCAAGAGCUCAGAUUUGAAAGGCACUUUUGUGCCGUUGUAUUCUGAAGUUAGGGUCCUGAGAAACGAUGCUUAAGUCUUCUGGAAAGGAGCGCCAUGGAGGGUGAUAGCCCCGUCUAGCAUUGACCUCAUAUAGGAUCUUAACAUGGAGUCGAGUUGUUUGGGAAUGCAGCUCAAAUGGGUGGUAUGCUCCAUCUAAAGCUAAAUAUCUGCGAGAGACCGAUAGUAAACAAGUACUGUGAGGGAAAGAUGAAAAGAACUUUGAAAAGAGAGUGAAAAAGUACGUGAAAUUGUUGAAAUGGAAGGGUAGGCCGCUAACCAUGUAGAGCCGUGUUUGGGGGGAAGAUAAAUGCUGUAGAAUGUAGCUCCUCGGAGUAUUAUAGAUGCAGUUCAUAUUCCCACCCGAGCGCGAGGAUCUCAGU